GGACUACUAGGGUUUCUAAUCCUGUUUGCUCCCCACGCUUUCGCACCUCAGCGUCAGUAUUGGCCCAGGUCGCCGCCUUCGCCACUGGUGUUCCUCCCGAUAUCUACGAAUUUCACCUCUACACCGGGAAUUCCGCGACCCUCUUCCAUACUCAAGCUCGUCAGUUUCAAGUGCCCUUCCUGGGUUGAGCCCAGGGCUUUCACACCCGACUUAACGAACCGCCUACGUGCGCUUUACGCCCAAUGAUUCCGAGCAACGUUUGCACCCUCCGUAUUACCGCGGCGGCUGGCAC
rnacentral:rRNA from 1 species